GCGAUGAUCCUGGUUUUUAGAGUCUCUUUUAUGUUGUUUAUAUCCGAUGGCGGGCCAUAUAAUGGCUGCAGAUACAUACAGAACCACAGCUAUAAUGUCCAACACCAGCUCCAGCUUACUGAGAUCACAGCAUCGCAGCAGAUCCACACACUUCUGCAGGUGAGACGGCAUCACCACUACUGUUGGAGGAAAACACACCACGUACACCACGAUGCACCAGAUCAGACCUGGAGGCCGGAAUUGGUUUUCGACUCCUCUGAAGUAAUUGUAUAUUCCGGUGAAAAUAAGACAGGCCACAAACGCCUGGCUGAAGCGCAGGAUGCCUUGAACGUUGGAUAGAUAGCCAGCAGGACAUUUGAGUUUCAGCAUCACAGCAUCGACCGUGUACGCAAUAAACGCAAGGAUGGCAAAGAUGGCGCAGAUGAUAUCAACAAUGCAUGUGGCGCAAACAAAAACGAUGCAGUAGAUGAGACACGCGGACAGCAGCAUGACGGAGCACAGCAGGGUCAGUCCACAGGAGAGAUCGUCCCAUGUGUGUUUCAGCACAAACAGCUCGAUCAGUUUAGCAAGCAAAAACUUCUCAACCACCAGGAUCACCACGGCCAUGAUGAGUGCGAAUGCCCACACGAAUUCACACCAGAUCCCGUAUGGGCUGUACAUGGGGCCUCGAAACAUGGGGACGAUCAGGGCCACUGCGCAGAAGAUGAUCUCUAAGAUGCGGAGCACAAGAGGCAGACUCAGUCCAAACGGAGGCAUCGUGCUUCGUAUGAUCCUGAAGUGUAUGUGAGUGACUGUGCACAGGUGGUCAGAUCAUUAAAAUGGCUUGAUUUACAUUUAAUCUGCCAAUAAAAUAUUUGCACACAAGA
rnacentral:lncRNA from 1 species